AGGAAUAAAACACACAUCUUGAGGCCUGAGACUGAGUAAACUCGUUGAUUAUGAAAACUGCAUCCAUCCUGGACAGUUACACUGCUACUGUAGGCAGUAAUAUGAUGCAGCUCAAAGUCAAAGUCGUGUGGAAAGACUGGAGAUCUACAGCAGAUAAGCAUGGCAAUUCAGAUCUUGGACUCCAAAAGUGAUUUGCAGAAGACAUCUUGGAAUGCAUGGGGCUGGAUUUUCUGACGGUUACUGCUCGCAUCUCUGCCUCCUGAACAGAAAUGCCUUGCUGAAUGUUGAAUGACCAUCAACUCUACCUUGCCAAGACAGAACUGCUCAUGUUUUCAGCCAGACCAACCUUGGUGUUACAGUGGACACAUAUGAACUUCAUUGACCACAUUGCAGUGGCCCGAUCCUGCAGAUUUGCCCUUAUGGGGCAUGCAACAGAACUCCUUGUCCAAGCUCUUAUUUUCUCUCCAUUCACAUCACAUCACAAAGAGGUACAAAUUCACUUUCACAGACCUUUACUUUAACUGUUUGUCGUUGUUGUAAUAAACUGCCUAACUCUGCCCAUUUUCAAGAAAUGGCUAAAAAAUUUUUUUUUUUGUUUUUCAUGAACGCUUGACCAAUUAAAGGGAUAGUUCACCCAAAAAUCGAAACGAGCCUAUGAUUUACUCACCCUCAAUCCAUUGUAUGUGUACAUGAC